rnacentral:miRNA from 1 species
GACGUCGAAUAUAGACGUCAUAAACACAAAAGUUGAUCGUGUUUAUGACGUCGAAUAUCGACGUCAUAAACACCAAAGUUGAUCGUGUUUAUGACGUCGAAUAUAGACGUCAUAAACACCAAAGUUGAUCGUGUUUAUGACGUCGAAUUUCGACGUCAUAAACACCAAAGUUGAUCGUGUUUAUGACGUCGAAUAUCGACGUCAUAAACACCAAAGUUGAUGGUGUUUAUGACGUCGAAUAUCGACGUC